rnacentral:rRNA from 1 species
GAUGAACGCUGGCGGCGUGCCUAAUACAUGCAAGUCGAGCGAACGGACGAGAAGCUUGCUUCUCUGAUGUUAGCGGCGGACGGGUGAGUAACACGUGGAUAACCUACCUAUAAGACUGGGAUAACUUCGGGAAACCGGAGCUAAUACCGGAUGAUAUUUUGAACCGCAUGGUUCAAAAGUGAAAGACGGUCUUGCUGUCACUUAUAGAUGGAUCCGCGCUGCAUUAGCUAGUUGGUAAGGUAACGGCUUACCAAGGCAACGAUGCAUAGCCGACCUGAGAGGGUGAUCGGCCACACUGGAACUGAGCCACGGUCCAGACUCCUACGGGAGGCAGCAGUAGGGAAUCUUCCGCAAUGGGCGAAAGCAUGACGGAGCAACGCCGCGUGAGUGAUGAAGGUCCUCGGAUCGUAAAACUCUGUUAUUAGGGAAGAACAUAUGUGUAAGUAACUGUGCACAUCUUGACGGUACCUAAUCAGAAAGCCACGGCUAACUCCGUG